GAGGAGAGAAAGAGAGAAGGAGAGAGAGGAGAGAAAGAGAGAAGGAGAGAAAGAGAACGAAAAAGAGAGAGAGAGAAAGAAAGGAAGUGUGAAGAAAAAAGCAAUUCUUCUUUAACUGCAAAGGAAAGUUGGAAGUGGAUAAGGAGGGGGAGAACAUUAUCUUCGCUGUUAGUGGUGGGCAAUAGAUACCUACAUGUAUAAAUAAUGUAAAAGGACAAAAAGCGAAGGGAUUCCGGCUCCACAGAACUAAAGAUCAUGAACAGAAACAGCCCGUGCCCUCCUUCCUCCUUUUCUCUCUCUCUCUCUCCCUCCCUCCCUCCCCGAAAGCUCUUUUCCCACCGUACACCAGCCCAGGCGUCCGGCAGUGAGACACCAGAGAGCAAAACAAACCCGUUACGAGAAGCUGAAAACGCGCGGAAAAGCUUCUGAGAAGAAAUGGAGCUUGACAGAACCAGGCCGCGCCGGCUGUAUGAAAAAUGCAUCUCGCGUUGCUAAAGUAGCACCAAGUGCGUUUGCGGGAGGGAGAAAAACACAAGGCGAGAUUAAAAAGAGAAUUAAAAUACCCACCCUCUGCUUUUGUUCCAGCUUCUCCCUCCUCCCCAGCCCCACGCACGGCCGCGGGAACCCUAGGGAGAGCAGAGCCCCCUCCGCUUCCCUCGCACCCCACAUCUCCCGAGGCCUCUCGCAGCUCCUCGGUGAAGAGGGUUUGUGUCUCACAAUGCCCCCGGCCAAGCACUUUCGCUCUGCUUCUCUCGCACAGACUCAACAGACAAGACUACAGACACCGACGGACAUACAUGGCAAUGGAAGAGCUGUUACCUUGCUUGGUGAAUUCCAUGCAAUCAAUGCAUCUCCAUGUAUUUAAUGUGUGUGUGUGUGGAUUUCCCCCUUUGCAA